UAGUGAUUAGUUUAAUAAAAACAAAUGAUUUNGACUCAUUAGACUAUGGAUUACCAUAAUCACUAA
rnacentral:tRNA from 1 species